GGAACUUCUCGGGAACAAGCAGUUUCAUUCCUCCAACCUCUUCCAUGGCAUUGAGCCAUAGAGACGUCCAUCCAAUGACUAGAUCCAGGUAACCUAUUUUCUCUCCCCCAAAAUACUUCUUCCCUGCAAUCUGUUUCUCCAAAUGUUCAAACAUUUCUUGUGCAGUUUCAAUGGCCUUCUUCUUAUUUUCUCCUUCCGACUUUACAGCUUCCCAUGCGCUAAGAACACACUGUACUUGUCGAAAAUGGUUAGUAUGUGUUCGCAGUGAGAAGAAAUCCCAUAUCCAAAAGAGUGCAAUCCCAUACGUGUAUUUUAACUACCAAACACUACCACAACAAAAAACAAAGUAUUGUUCUUAUAAAUUUUGUGUAGGCUAUAUAUAUCAUGUUUCUUGGUUUCGUUUAGUUCAUUGCCACAUCUGCUUCGACACUGAAAGAUAACAAGUCCCAAAAGUUCAAGGCAAAGCAAGAUGAAAAGAAUUUUGAUGUCAAAUGAAGAAAAAGAACAAAAUGUUCAAGCUAAAGGAGGAGAUGCCUAGACACUUGCUCCUGCAAUGAAAGAGGUAACCUCAGUCUGAAGCUAUAUCCCUCCUAGGUAAAAAAAGAAGAUUUACUAGAUCCUUG
rnacentral:lncRNA from 1 species